rnacentral:lncRNA from 1 species
UAAUAACUAAUCAUACAAAUUAAUUCAUAAUAUUUAUAAUUAAUUAUCAAUUAAUUAAAUUAAAUUAUUUAUAAUUAAUAAUUAAUAAUAAUAAUAUUUUCUAAAAUUAUUAAAUUUAAAAUCCAAAUAAAAUUUACCGAGCCAAAAAAUCUAAACUCUGCAUAUCUGAAAAACAGCAGGGUCCGAAAGUUGGUACCGUGCCAGCAGUGUCGGAAUUCGAAUAUGGAGACGCUUACAUGGCGGGAAGUCGGAAAAUAUUGAAAUCAUGACCAACUCUCACCGAAGGACGCUGGAUCGCGGCCGGAAAAGCGAUGCUCCGGUGAGACUGCACCUCCAGCUCCGACGAGGAAAAAUGGCGAGGAAGACUUGACCUGCAGGUUUUCGACGGUAGGGUGUGAGAUUCCGGUGUAGGAUUUGCCGGAGGACAACGACAACAAGGUGAUUUGGCGGCGGCAGCAGGGGAGGAAGCUUCCUCCUCUCAAGCAGCUUUUCCUCGACGACUGAAGAUGGCGUGGUCGGCAGUAACGGGCUGGCGACAUCGAGGGUAGCUCACGACAGGUGAGGGAAGGAGGGACGACAGGGGAAGCGACCAGAAAUGGAAAGUGCAGGGGGGAGAGAGGUGACAUCGGGGAAGAAAGGAAAAGAGGGGGGGAGGGUGGGGGCCUUGAAGGAGAUUAUUCAAGGGGAGGUGGAAAAAUGUAUAUAGGCCCCUGCUUAAAGUAUUUGGCUACACUAAAAUCUUUUUAUUUCCAUUAUUAUACAUUAUAUGUAUUUGCACACACAUGCACCUAAUUAUUAAAGCAACAAUUAAACAUUAACUUAAACUCUUAGUAAUAAAGAUAAUUCUAUAUAAUAAAGUUCAAUUUGGC